AGUGAACGCUGGCGGUAGGCCUAACACAUGCAAGUCGAACGGCAGCACAGUAAGAGCUUGCUCUUACGGGUGGCGAGUGGCGGACGGGUGAGGAAUACAUCGGAAUCUACUUUUUCGUGGGGGAUAACGUAGGGAAACUUACGCUAAUACCGCAUACGACCUACGGGUGAAAGCAGGGGAUCUUCGGACCUUGCGCGAUUGAAUGAGCCGAUGUCGGAUUAGCUAGUUGGCGGGGUAAAGGCCCACCAAGUCGACGAUCCGUAGCUGGUCUGAGAGGAGGAUCAGCCACAUUGGAACUGAGACACGGUCCUGACUCCUACGGGAGGCAGCAGUGGGGAAUAUUGGACAAUGGGCGCAAGCCUGAUCCAGCCAGACCGCGUGGGUGAAGAAGGCCUUCGGGUUGUAAAGCCCUUUUGUUGGGAAAGAAAAGCAGCAGGUUAAUACCCCGCUGUUCUGACGGUACCCAAAGAAUAAGCACCGGCUAACUUCGUG
rnacentral:rRNA from 1 species